GUGGUGGCUCAGUGGUAGAGUGCUUGCCUCACAUGUGUGAGGCACUGGGUUCAAUUCUCAGCACCACA
rnacentral:tRNA from 2 species